GCGUCCUUAGCUCAGCUGGAUAGAGCAACGAGCUUCUACCUCGUGGGUCGGGGGUUCGAAUCCCUCAGGGCGCGCCA
rnacentral:tRNA from 2 species